rnacentral:lncRNA from 1 species
GCUGGAAUUCAGAGAAAGCUGGAGAAACAUGCAGAGAUGACAAUCACUUCAAGGAAGAUGACUAUCAGCAUGUCUUUUCCUUGACCUUCACCAUUAUUAGAUUAUGUCUGAUGGUUUGAGAUGGACUUGGCUGGCAGGAAAGGCCAAAAGGAGCAUAAGGAGUCUUAGCUGUUGGCCUGCUCUCAAACAUGGGACCAAGGGUUUUGAGAGCAGGCCAAUUACAACACAGUGUGUUGAGGUUGUAGCCACAUUGACAUGGUGGUAUGCUUGAGAGACAGCGGCUAAGGAGGCACUCCCUGCACUGCGAGAUCAACUAAUUAUCUGUUUGCUUAGAAGUUCCAGGGACCAAAUCUUAAAACAAACCAGUCACCCUCCAGAAUUCUCCCCCACCAAGAGAUUGCCUCACUACAAUAAUAAUUUUACAACCCAAUUCUGCCAGCAGUGGUGCUGGCCAGACCAUCAGAUGGCCCAUUACUAAGAUAAGCCAUUAGAGCCAGUCACGUAGACCCCACACCUCCUCACCCCUCCUGCAUGCCCUGUGUACCAAAAUUUCUCUUCUUAAGCCCCUGCUUUCUGCCCAGAAAUCUGAAGUGGUUCCUUUGGAUGCAAAACUGGCCACUUCCCCAAUGCUAAGCUCUGGAAUAAAGUUGCUUUGUUCUUACCACUUCUCAUCCUUGUCAUUCAGCUUUACAAACAUCGAGCAGCUGAGCCUGUGCUCAGCAACACCUCCACUGUGUUUAUUUUAUGCCAUUCAACUGGG